CCUUAAUAUACCAUCCCAGCACCCCCACCUUCUCUUCUCUCUCUCUUUUUUUUUUUAAAGUUACCUACCUCUUGAACGCCUUCACUCGGUUUCUUUCCUCCCCACCCCCCUCGUCUUGGUUCUCAUUGGUCAAAGGAUUCCUUUGUUAGCAAGCAAGGGCCACCAUCAUUGGUCAGGUCGGGCUGUCCAUCGGAGAAGGGGCGAGGCUCUACUUACCCCUCGGCCCCUACCAACUCCCCCCCUCCUUCUAACUCCCUCCCUCCUCUUCUAACCGUGACCCCUCCCCCACCCCCACCCUCUCUCGUUCGAUCCCAGGAACGCGCGAGACGCUAGGCUACCAUUUGCAACUGCCCGGGAGUGCAAAGGGGAGCGGCGGAGGGUGCCAGCGGGGAGGACUCUUUCCCGAGGAACCAUGCAGUGAUUUCCCUCGGAUAACCUGGACUCGCAGACGAGUCGGAGUGAGGAGCUGUAGCUUCAGAGGAUGCGUCCAUGGGCCAGCUAAAACGAGAAGGCGGCCGCGGAGGCUGUGGCUCUUUGUUCCCAUCCCCCCUCCUCGCUUCUUCUGGAAUUGGGAUGCCCCCAAAGUGAGCGGGGACCGGUUUGAGACGCCCAGCCCUUGGAUUGCCAAAGCCUGCAGCCGAUCUGAGGAUAUUAUUGCACAACCCAACUGAGAGGAAACCGUGCCGGGCUCUGUCGGGCCCCUCCCCACCUCCGUCUCCCUCUCCUUCCCUCUCGAGUCCCCAUCCCCUGACCGCGGGGCUCCUUGGAUGAUUUUCCUAGGAAAGAGAACCUGUCAGGGCGAGGGUCAGGUUGCUGGGGCAUUCUCCACCUCUCUUUCCUUGAAGUAAAGAGGACAGCUCUAGAGAUUGGCUGGACACCCGAAAAAUGUCCGCGAAGGAGAACCCCUGCCGGAAAUUUCAGGCCAACAUCUUCAACAAAAGCAAGUGUCAGAAUUGCUUCAAGCCCCGGGAAUCUCAUUUGCUCAAUGAUGAAGAUUUAAACCAGGUGAGUCUUUAGAUUUUUGCUGAAUUUUGUACCAGAGGUGAGGAGGUCAAGGCCCUCCUCCCUUCCC
rnacentral:lncRNA from 1 species